rnacentral:rRNA from 1 species
UGAGGAAUAUUGGGCAAUGCCCGCAAGGGUGACCCAGCAACGCCGCGUGGAGGAUGAAUGUCGUAAGAUUGUAAACUCCUGUUAGAGGGGAAGAAUAGUACCGGUUGGACCGGUAUAUGACUGUACCCUCAGAGAAAGCCCCGGCUAACUACGUGCCAGCAGCCGCGGUAAUACGUCGGGGGCAAGCGUUGUCCGGAUUUACUGGGUGUAAAGGGCGCGCAGGCGGGAUAAAAAGUCAGUGGUGAAAUCCUACAGCUUAACUGUAGAACUGCCUUUGAUACUUUUAUUCUUGAGUUCGGGAGAGAGAGACGGAAUUCCAGGUGUAGUGGUGAAAUACGUAGAUAUCUGGAAGAACACCAGUUGCGAAGGCGGUCUCUUGAUCCGACACUGACGCUGAGGCGCGAAAGCGUGG